AUAUUUUAUUUUUUUUUUACCAGAGCUUAAAGAAAUUCCACUAAAGGAAUUAAUCAGAAAGAGUUGUUUGCUUACUAUAUGCCUUGUAGUACUAUCAAGAUGCCCUGAAUAGUGCUGCAGGCUUCUUUACAGUGGGGAUGUCAUGUCGACAGGAUAGAGGAGGGAAUGGCUCUGCUCCUGCCUCCAGGUGCUUGAGCAGAUAGACCAGACCAUAAGCUGCAGCCUGCUCAGUGCAGGAACCUAUUCUACAGGUGAAAAUCUCCAUGCAUGGCCAAGGACCGAUGCCCCGUGGCUGCGUGCUUUGCCAGCACAACCCCUGCACCCACAUUGGAAGCUGGAGGUCUGAAAUUGUUCCUACUCUUAACAGCACAUGUGGGCUGCUGAGCGCACAAAGGCAUCUGGGAAAAUGGAGAAGGAUGUAAGCUCCUUUCCUUGAGGCUUUCAGGACUUUGCCAUUCUUCUUAAUUUUUGAGCUAACAUGGAAAGGCUGAUGUCCCUCAAACCCAAUCCUGGUUGGAGGUGGCACAACAGUGCUGUGUCUGCUGCACUAAAGCUGACCAAAGAUCUGUGCUCUGCACUGCUCUCACCUCCGCUCACCUGUGCACCAGCAAGAUCAUUUCCAAAAUCAUAAAUCCCACGUGGAAACGUCUGAUAUUUCCAAAGCCUAGUGAAAGGCUGAUGGCAGCUUUUCCUUUCGGAUGGUCUCAGGGAAUGUUUCCAUUUUCUGAUUUCCGAUCAGGGCUGAUUUAAUGCUGUUCGUAUAUAAUCACUUGGCUCCUGCAGGUAGGGACGCACAAUACUUCCUUCCACCUCCUACCAAAAAACAGCAGGAAGGAAGGGAUAAUAACAUUUAGAAAGAGAACGAGGUCUGUUUGUAGGCAGAGACAAGCAGAUUCAGCAGGCUGGGCUGGAGCUGAUGUUUCCCAUCGAAUUUUCUGGUUACCAGUGGUAGCAGAUGUAAAGAUACAGCCUGACUUCUGUGGCCAAAACAGACGAUUCUGAUCAUGCAAUCUAAGGCCUGCCCAGCUUCACGUCGAAAGAUGUGUGCCCUUCUGAAGGGCACUUCUGAAGAAAGAUGUCAAAGGAUGGAGAUAUAAUUUUUGUAGAAUUUUUGGAUGGUGCUUUAGCGGGCAGUCAGAAAUCAUGGAUUCUUAACGCAGUUUACUUACACCAACACACCUCCUGCUUUUCUAACUCAGUUUACUUUUCUCUGAAGUGAAGCCUGAGAUGCUAAGCCUUAAUGCUGUCAGCUUUAAUUAGGCAGAUGACCAGCUGGUGACAGCACACACCCACCAGCCUUUUUCCAUUAGGUAUUUUAAGGGGAGCCGGGGAGGGCUGGUUUGCUGGGAGGUUGCUUCCUAUUGGUGGUGGUUUUCUCUGGCAUAGUCAAGUGAGGUCCUAGGUGGAGAGCUAUGGAGUGAGGCAGUAGAAAAAGAGGCUCAGAUAAGAGAAUGAGGAGGGUUUGUGCAGUGCAAGGGAAAUGCAGAUGCUGGGGGCAAUUAAACCAUUGGGUUAGGAAGAGGGCAGAACUGUACAGCGGAGAAUGAAUCUGCAAAGUGAGAAAAUAGUCUGUGGAUGCCAGAGACACUCCACAAUGUGAAUGCCAAAUCCAUCACAAUGGAUGCUGAGAGUGAGCUAAAUUUGAAGAUUAUUGGGCAGAAUCUCACGGGGGGAGAAAGGGCAGAAACGUGAGGGGGGGGUGGUAUGAAUGAAUCAAAGACAUUUGUGGCAAAGAGAAGGAAAGAGACGCAGAAAGAAUGGAGCUGGGAGCAGGCAGCUGGGGGUCACAUGUGAUAGAGAGAACUCCCAACACUGCCAGGUUGGAGCAGGGACUCAGGGACAGGAGAAAAUAAGGCUUUUUUUCCUGUAUUUUAAAGAAAUAUCCCCAUUGUGCAGAAGGGGAAAAAACUUGCCUCUAAUCUGCAAGGGUGCUGCACGUGGUCUCACAGCACUUCCAGCUUUCCAGACAUUUAUUCCUUAUUCAAGUGGGAGGUGCAGAAAUAAAGACAGAAGGUGAAGCUGAGUUCAGGGAAAUAACUGUCCUGGGACUAGGAAGUGGAAAAAUUGACCAGUUCUGCACCCUCCUCCUAUUGUGUUUUUUUAACUUUUUAUUUUCCCAUUCCGCUUCAAGACAGCGCUGGGACUCCAAGAGGCAGCGAAGAAACAAGACUCAGCUGUGCUGGAGGAGCAGUGGCUCAGUGGCUGCCUGCAGGAGCACAGUGGCCAUGGCUGAGCUGCCACUUGUCAUGGCAGUGGGGCUGGGCCAUUGAUGCACCGCGCUGUUUGCCACGUUGCCUGGUAGCUGCUGUGAUGUGUUUAUCCUCAUCCUGAGCUGCCUGAAUGGCUGUUCCCUCUGCUGCGAAGUUCACAUGGGGACCCACAGAUCACAGGCUAUAAAAAGCGAUGGCCUGGCCAUUGUGCCAACUCUUCUGCUGGGGGCUGCUUAUGCAAUACGGGUGCAGAGCUCAUGCAAAGUGUGAAGGAUACCUGGGUGGCUGCAGGUCCUGCUUGUCAGCUGAGCAGCCAGCUCCUCCUUUGCAGUGACUGUACCAGCAUCACUGUCUGCAUGGAAGGUGUCAUCACUGCUCUCCUUGUUGAGCUGUCCUUGCACAUGGCUGAUGUAUGGGGAGUGCAGUGACCCCAGCCCCGUGUCACGACAGGGAGCAGCAUGUGGGGCUGGGCACAGAGCCGGGGGGGGGUCAAGCUGGGCCAGUGACCACUCCGUUGCAUGGCCCCCUCCCACCCAGCCCUUCUCCUAGAGCCCAAUGCGUCCAAGAGGAACAGGGGGUGGUUGGAUGUGGCAGUGAAGAAACAUCUCACCAAACUGUGUGCACCCUGGGAGGUGCUGGCUGUGUCAGAAAGCCCUCCAUGACCCUUGAGGGGUUAAGUUUCACCUCAGAGAGGGCUGUGUGAGACCACCAACUCCCCCUGUGCCACUUGGCGCUUUCUGCAUCCCACAGGUGCCCGGUGCAGCUGGGCUGGGCAGCUCUAACCUCCUUCUGUCCUGCCCAGCCCAGGGGCACGGCCACGUGGCCCCACGCGUGCCCCUCUCCCCUGCGGCCCCUGGAGGGGGGCUGCUUGCGCAGGGUCCGGGGCGGGGGAGCCUUCCUGCCGGCCGGUGGUGACGUUGGCUGGGCAGGAAGGAACAGCGGGUUCCUGAGGGAGCUGGGGACAUUCCUCCCAUAGCUGCGCGGGGCCCCUCGCGUCCCGCAGGGCGCUCAGGCUAUUAUUGAAGCCCGUUGCCGUGGCACGCUUCCAGGUCUGUAUUUCUUCUCACAUAGGAGGGUGGAAACAGCUCCCUCCC